AUUUUUAGUUAGAUUAAAAAUUUUAUCAAAUUUAACAACUCGAUAAAUAAAUUAUUAACCAUUAAUUUGUUUAGUUUUAUUUAUUAAAACAUAAUUAUAAUUAUUACCUCUGGUGAUUGAGAAGAAUAUAUUUGAAAAUAUAAUAUAUGAAAAUUGAACUUUAUAAGGGUAUUUUUGAUAUUUACUAUAUUUGUAAGGACUUGUACAAAAUUAAUCCUGUUUACGAAAUUAAAAAUAAUUGUUUUUUAAUUAUUUAAUUC
rnacentral:lncRNA from 1 species